GCCGGCCGGGCCCCGCCGAUAAGGGCGGUUGGCUGGGGCCCCCCGCAGGGUCCAGCCCCAGCUGUCCCAGCGCUGACCUAGGGAAGGGACGCGACACAACCCCCGGUUGUCCCCUGGGCGGUGCCGGAGCCCUGAGGGACGCGGAAAGGGCCCAGAGGCCGCCACGCCGAGGUGUUGCCCGCAGGUUGUUGUGUGAAUCUGUUCAGUAAAAGCACGUUCCUUACAUCGGUCAUUCAUGGAAUGCGAGAAAAAUAUUGAUUUCCAUUGUCUCACAAACAGAAAAAGAAAUGGCACACCCUUAGAAAGAUAAACAUUGGACAGUAUUGUAAAAGGAUUUGUGAUAAGAAAUUGAAGUUUAGAAAUACGAAACAGGUAUCCCAAUUCAUAUGCUACUGUCUGCUAUGUCCUGCAGUUUGAAAGGAGGUACUUACUGAUGCACCAAAACAUAGCAAAGCAAAUCAGAGUACACUAGCAGCUAAACUGUGAUCACUUUAUUAAUCACUGCUUGAACAACACAAAUGGCUGAAGUGAUUUGUGAAUGUGUCAUUAGAUACCUGGUGUUUGUAAGUAAUGAGGAGAAUUAAUGGCAUUCAGACUCUAUUUCCUAAUUUACCAGUCCUAGGUUAGGUCUCCAGCACUGUUGUCUCCCCACACACUGGAGCCAGAACAAACAAAACAGCGGAGAAACCUGUCAAGUCUGACAAAUAACUUGACAUUUGUAUAAAUUGCUGCAUACUCAUUUGUUGCAUAUUCAUUUCAUGAGACAAAUUAUUAUAAUCUGAAAAUAAUAUUCUGACUUGGGAACAAUGUAAGGCAUCUGAAAUGCUUAAAGGAUUGACUGGUGACUUCAAGAUAUAUACAUCAUGAUAUUUCUGUUACAGCAGAAAAAAAGAAUGGUAACUUAGAUCCACUCCAUGAAAUUUUCUUUUCCUUUGCUGAACAAUGAACUUUACUUAUAUAACACCUUCCUCAUAACAUGUACUUCGCAGUAUUUAUAACCAUUUACAAUUUAUUGCUGUUUGUAGAGAUCUUUGAACUUUUCAGGUAAAUGUACCAGGUUUGUAUAAAGCAUUAUUUUAUACCUAUAGUAUGAAUAUUAAAUUUUCAAACAACUGCUUAAGUUGUAUUUAUAAUUUAAAUACAUAAGACUUUACUAUUAAAAGUUUUCUGAAUAGGCUGUGUUAAAAGAAGCACACAGAAAACAGUUUGUAGUUGAAUGUGAAUACACUGUACUACAGGAGUAUGGGUCUUCUAAACAGUUGACAUAUACUUGUGCCUUGAAAAAGAUGUAUCCUGUAAGGCACAGUGAGCCAGUGCAGGAAUGUGGCCAGCACUAAUAGGAUGUUGAGGAACUACCUCACAGAAAGGUGAAUGACAUCAAACAUUCAAAUAAUGCAGUAAAAGGCAAACUCAUACAAAGAGUUCAUAUUUAUUAAAAAUAUUCAUUGAAAAAAUAUUUUUUAAUAAAUCUGCAUUUGG